GACGAACGCUGGCGGCGUGCCUAAUACAUGCAAGUCGGACGCAGUUGCGACCGGGUGAGUAACGCGUAGGAACCUGCCUAUUAGAGGGGGAUAACUAUUGGAAACGAUAGCUAAUACCGCUUACUAGGAGAUGGACCUUCGUUGUAUUAGCUAGUAGGUAGGGUAGUGGCAUACCUAGGCAACGAUGCAUAGCCGACCUGAGAGGAUGAUCAGCAACACUGGAACUGAGACACGGCCCAGACUCCUACGGGAGGCAGCAGUGGGGAAUAUUGGACAAUGGGCGAAAGCCUGAUGCAGCCAUGCCGCGUGUGUGAAGAAGGUCUUCGGAUUGUAAAGCACUGUAAGUUGGGAAGCGGUACCAACAGAAUAAGCACCGGCUAACUUCGUGCCAGCAGCCGCGGUAAUAC
rnacentral:rRNA from 1 species